rnacentral:lncRNA from 1 species
ACCUACUUUUUCUUCUUCCCAGCACCCUAGCUAACGGUCAAUAAGCAACUGGAUUUUUAGCUGAAGUCUUGUGUCUGCUCUCAAAAGGAGGAAGCGGUUCCUUGGACAGUCAGUGUGUGUCACAAGAGUGUAAACUGCCUACUCAGCAUUAACUCUCUCCUUGUUCUUCGUGUUCACAUUCCUAAUUUUGUUUGAGGCAGCAAUAGCACAACAACAAACAGGCGCAUUCCAGUACCGGGAAGGUGCUAUUCAGUGGUACAGGACUCCAAGGGGCGGCUCAGUAAAGCAGAGGUCAGUGUCAUCUCUUGUUCCAUUGGUGCGCCAUUUGACCCUGCGAAGCGAUAAUUUCCUCAAUUGCACCCUAGUCUGAGUGUUAAUUCAGCUUCCAGAGAUUUCUGAUUUAAUGUCAAGAAGUAGAUUUUACCCUAUGAAACCUAGGUCUACAAAUUUUAUUUCCUUUAAAUGUCUAGAUUAAGAAAUCACAGCUUUCAAAGUGCAACUGCAAAUUAAUAGACGGAGGAGUCGUCAACCAUGAAUCGGCUGACCAAACUGCAUAUGUGUGAAGUUUUUUUCAGAUGCUAAGAAUCCUUUGACUCAGUUUCUGGGAAACUAGAAGCAAGGUUUGGUGAUCAAUUUCAGUAUUAACUAUCUCAGGAGGCUAGUUAUAUCUGCUUCUUUAUUCAUUUUAAUUUCAUUGGUCUUCUUUCAUUUUUAUUGCCUUGUUUCAUAACGUGGUUGGUUUUGUAAGCUGUAGCUGGUAGUUGCAAAUUUCUCCUCUCCACACUUAGAAGUGCAGAAAAAAUGCAUUUCUUUUGUGACUUUACUGACUAAUAAUAUCCCAUAUGAGGCUCACAUUUUGCAUGAGAUAAAGGGAAUUUAUUCAGUCCAAUGUGGAAAGUUUAAUAGUCCCUUUAAGUAGAAGUAGAUUCUGAGGUCCUCAUUUUUUCUGAUUUUCACAGCUCCUCUAUUUUUCUCCUUUCCCAGAAGCUACUGGGUGUGUAAG